AUGAAAACCUCAGGGUAAAGAUGAGUCAUGUGAAGAACUGCAAGAGUUGCUCCUGAAGCAGAUCAGGGUGGAUUAAAUACUCGCAGCAAAUGAAGCUAGGAGGGAAAUUUCUUGAAGGAUUUGAGUUUCACGAGGAGGCGCCACUGAGCCGGGCUCUCCCUGGAUAUUUCCAAGCUGGAGAAACUUGACAACGAGAAGGAACGAAGGAAUUACUCUUCCUCUUUCAGGUGAAAAACUGAGGCAUCAGGAAUUAAACUGUGAGAGAUUU